GCAGCGAUGUCCGAGUGGUUAAGGAGUUUGACUCGAAAUCAACUGGGCUCUGCCCGCGUAGGUUCGAAUCCUGCUCGCUGCG
rnacentral:tRNA from 1 species